AUUGAACGCUGGCGGCAGGCUUAACACAUGCAAGUCGAGCGGGGUGAUGGUGCUUGCACUAUCACUUAGCGGCGGACGGGUGAGUAAUGCUUAGGAAUCUGCCUAUUAGUGGGGGACAACAUCUCGAAAGGGAUGCUAAUACCGCAUACGUCCUACGGGAGAAAGCAGGGGAUCACUUGUGACCUUGCGCUAAUAGAUGAGCCUAAGUCGGAUUAGCUAGUUGGUGGGGUAAAGGCCUACCAAGGCGACGAUCUGUAGCGGGUCUGAGAGGAGGAUCCGCCACACUGGGACUGAGGCUCGGCCCAGGCUCCUACGGGAGGUAGCAGUGGGGGAUAUUGGACAAUGGGGGGAACCCUGAUCCAGCCAUGCCGCGUGUGUGAAGAAGGCCUUAUGGUUGUAAAGCACUUUAAGCGAGGAGGAGGCUCUUUUGGUUAAUACCCAAGAUGAGUGGACGUUACUCGCAGAAUAAGCACCGGCUAACUCUGUGCCAGCCGCCGCCGUAA
rnacentral:rRNA from 1 species